rnacentral:rRNA from 1 species
AUUCGAUUGUGCCAGCAGCCGCGGUAAUACGGAGGAGGCAAGCGUUAUCCGGAAUUAUUGGGCGUAAAGCGUUCGUAGGUGGCUUUAUAAGUCUGUUGUUAAAGAGUGGAGCUUAACUCCAUAAAGGCAAUGGAAACUGUAAGGCUAGAGAGUGGUAGGGGUAACAGGAAUUCCCAGUGUAGCGGUGAAAUGCGUAGAUAUUGGGAAGAACACCAGCGGCGAAAGCGUGUUACUGGGCCACAACUGACACUGAGGGACGAAAGCUAGGGGAGCGAAAGGGAUUAGAUACCCCUGUAGUCCUAGCCGUAAACGAUGACAACUAGGUGUUGCCCGUAUCGACCCGGGCAGUGCCGUAGCCAACGCGUUAAGUUGUCCGCCUGGGGAGUACGCACGCAAG